AAUCGAAGCAGUGAACUUAAGCCCCAGUAAACGGCGGCCGUAACUAUAACGGUCCUAAGGUAGCGAAAUUCCUUGUCGGGUAAGUUCCGACCCGCACGAAAGGCGUAACGAUUUGGGCACUGUCUCAACAACAGACUCGGUGAAAUUGUAAUUCCGGUGAAGAUGCCGGAUACCUGCGACAGGACGGAAAGACCCCAUGGAGCUUUACUGUAGCUUGACAUUGGGUCUUGGUACUACAUGUACAGGAUAGGUGGGAGGCUUUGAAACCAGGACGCCAGUUUUGGCGGAGCCAUCCUUGGGAUACCACCCUUGUAGUACUGGGACUCUAACCAUAGGCCAUGAAUCUGGUCUUGGGACACUGUCAGGUGGGCAGUUUGACUGGGGCGGUCGCCUCCCAAAAGGUAACGGAGGCGCUCAAAGGUUCUCUCAGUACGGUCGGAAAUCGUACGUAGAGUGUAAAGGCAAAAGAGAGCUUGAUUGCAAGACAUACAGGUCGAGCAAGGAUGAAAAUCGGACUUAGUGAUCCGGUGGUUCUGCGUGGAAGGGCCAUCGCUCAACGGAUAAAAGCUACCCUGGGGAUAACAGGCUUAUCUCCCCCAAGAGUCCACAUCGACGGGGAGGUUUGGCACCUCGAUGUCGGCUCAUCACAUCCUGGGGCUGUAGUAGGUCCCAAGGGUUGGGCUGUUCGCCCAUUAAAGUGGUACGCGAGCUGGGUUCAGAACGUCGUGAGACAGUUCGGUCCCUAUCCGUCGCAGGCGUAGGAAAUUUGAGAAGACCUGUCCUUAGUACGAGAGGACCGGGAUGGACGUACCUCUGGUGUACCAGUUGUUCUGCCAAGGGCAUGGCUGGGUAGCUAUGUACGGAAUGGAUAAGCGCUGAAAGCAUCUAAGCGCGAAGCCAACUUCAAGAUAAGAUUUCCCACCGCAAGGGUAAGACCCCAGAAAGACUAUCUGGUUGAUAGGUCGAAGGUGUAAGUGCAGCAAUGUAUUUAGCUUAUCGAUACUAAUAGGUCGAGGACUUGACCAA
rnacentral:rRNA from 1 species